rnacentral:rRNA from 1 species
UGCAAGUCGAGCGGUAGAGAGAAGCUUGCUUCUCUUGAGAGCGGCGGACGGGUGAGUAAUGCCUAGGAAUCUGCCUGGUAGUGGGGGAUAACGUUCGGAAACGGACGCUAAUACCGCAUACGUCCUACGGGAGAAAGCAGGGGACCUUCGGGCCUUGCGCUAUCAGAUGAGCCUAGGUCGGAUUAGCUAGUUGGUGAGGUAAUGGCUCACCAAGGCGACGAUCCGUAACUGGUCUGAGAGGAUGAUCAGUCACACUGGAACUGAGACACGGUCCAGACUCCUACGGGAGGCAGCAGUGGGGAAUAUUGGACAAUGGGCGAAAGCCUGAUCCAGCCAUGCCGCGUGUGUGAAGAAGGUCUUCGGAUUGUAAAGCACUUUAAGUUGGGAGGAAGGGCAGUUGCCUAAUACGUAACUGUUUUGACGUUACCGACAGAAUAAGCACCGGCUAACUCUGUGCCAGCAGCCGCGGUAAUACAGAGGGUGCAAGCGUUAAUCGGAAUUACUGGGCGUAAAGCGCGCGUAGGUGGUUUGUUAAGUUGGAUGUGAAAUCCCCGGGCUCAACCUGGGAACUGCAUUCAAAACUGACUGACUAGAGUAUGGUAGAGGGUGGUGGAAUUUCCUGUGUAGCGGUGAAAUGCGUAGACAUAGGAAGGAACACCAGUGGCGAAGGCGACCACCUGGACUAAUACUGACACUGAGGUGCG